CUUUACUGUAACUUGAAAUUGAAAUUGGACUUUAUUUGCGCAGUAUAGGUGGGAGGCGUUGAGAAUAUUCUUGCGGGAAUAUUGGAGCCAUCAGUGAGAUACCACUCUUGUAAUGUUAGAUUUCUAACUUUGGAUCAUUAUCUGGUCAAAGGACAGUUUCAGGCGGGCAGUUUGACUGGGGCGGUCGCCUCCCAAACGGUAACGGAGGCGUACAAAGGUUUCCUCUGAACGGGUAGAAAUCGUAUCUAGAGUGUAAAGGCAUAAGGAAGCUUGACUGUGAGACUUACAAGUCGAGCAGGGACGAAAGUCGGUCUUAGUGAUCUGACGGUGCUGAGUGGAAAGGCCGUCACUCAACGGAUAAAAGUUA
rnacentral:rRNA from 1 species